GAAAUAUAUUAUAAACUUUAUUAUAUUACUCAAUUUUUCAUUGUAGUUAUCGACAAAUUAACAAUCAAAUACAUUUGUUAUUAUCUGUUCUAUUCAAUUUUUUAUUUUGAACGUCAAAAAUAAUUAUAUCGUUGUUUUUUUCAAUUUGUUGUAAAUUUAAAAAAAAAGUAUCUGGGAAAUACGAGUGGAUGAAAUAAGAAAAUGAAAAAGAAUAGAAUUAUCCAGUUUUUGUCAAUAUGCUCAUCUGAUAUUAUUCACAGGGCUCUUUGAAAAGAUCAACCGAAUCAACAAUGAUAAAUUUGAAGCGUAACGCGAAUAAUCACGCGAAUAGACAAAAAGCGAAUGGAAACAAAAGCGCGCAAAUGCGAGAGGAAAAAAAUCAUGAUUCUUCUCUAUCGGUUUCGGAACAUUUAAUUCAGAGAUGCAGUGGGAAAGAGUGAGGAGGAGGGUUAUUCAUGGGAGCGAGCGAAUUAAUGCGAAAAUUUAAUGCAGCUGUCACGUGUCCAACCGUUACUAAAUCUACGUAUAACGUCAUUAAAUCGGCGAAAUCGGCGCUGCCAUGACUCUACACGCGUUUUGUUUCACCUCGUCCACACAGGCCGUAUUGUAACGUGUGACCCGUUUUGCACUCACUAAUUGUAAUAAUUUUCUGACUCCCGAGUGUGCCAUAAAAGCGUCGAAAGGAUGCGGACAACCGUUCGAAUUACGAGGUUAUAUAGGUCGUUUCAUAGGUUUGGUAUACAGGAUCGAUCAUCCAAUUGAGAGGUUUAUAAAAAAAAAAAAAAAAGAAAAAAGAAAAAUAUGAAAUACAAACAAUUUGACGAAUAUGUACUUACGUAUUCUAUGGUGUCGAACAGGUUGUGAAUCUGCACGUCAACAAUCGACAUAUAACCUCAAAAGGGAACAAUUUUUUUUUUUAUACUGUUAACUAUUUGCACUAUUGGCACAAUGAUGAAUCAAUAUCUCUCAUUCUUUUCAUUUUUGUCAAACUUUUGUUGAACUUUAUUUAAAUGAAAAAAGUGGUCUUUGACCAAUAUGAAUUUGCACCGAUAUCUCAAGAGUUUCGAAUCUUACAGCGAACUUUUCCAUAAAUUAUAUAGAGGAAAAUGUGGAUAUGCUAAAAAACAUGUAACGAAUAUAUUCUCUGCGAUAUUCAGAAUCUGGAGAACACAAGAAUUUUACAUGUUGCCCUUUGGCAUAAAUAAAUACUAAACAUGCUAGAUACUUACCUUGGAUAAAACGAGCACGAAUUUGAUUAUUUCAAAACUUAAAACCAGCCAUUAUUUCGCCCGAUUUCACCUGAUUCGAGGGAGUCGAAUGCCUGAUCCCUUUAAAUAUUACAUUUCAUAGAAUUAAAAACUUCUCUUCUAUCAUAUUAAUUAUGAUUAAUUUAAACUUGAUAAUAAGGAUACUACUUAAGAUAUAACAAAACGUGAUAUCUUAGCUUUUGCAAAGUAGAAGAGCGCUAAUUUCCGAUCACGUGGUCGAACAAUUCUCUGAAGAAUAUUUUCAACCGGUCCUGAUGGGAGAAAGUCUGUUCCAUUGUUGGAGAAUUUUAAAGAUGGCAAGGAUAAAAGGAGAGGACCCGUUUAUCGAUCAACGGUGAAACAUGUUUCCAAAACCGACAAUCUAUUACAUCGAUCAGCCUUGGAAAUCUCGAGGAAUCAUAUCUUGCCUGCAACGGAAAGUCGUCUGCAAAAUGUAUUCCCUCCCCUCGAUACAGUCCAUAUGCAAACGACGAUGCAGUUUGUUCGAAUCUGUUCUAUCCAAACAGCUGCACCGUGUACUCAUUGAAACUAUACACCCACGUAAAUGUAUGUAUGCAUACAGAAUCCCAGAGGUGCACGGUAGUAUGGAAUCGGUUUACCCCGGUCGACUCUCUUAUCCCAAGAAGGGAAAGGCAAAACACCGUGAGAGGGUACAUAUGUUCGGUGCAAGCGGCCGGUAAUCGAUCAUGGAAAUCCUGUAAAAAGUAGCAGGGAUGUCUGGCCCAUCGGUCUCCGAGUGUCAAACGAGAAUUAAUAGCUCGCCAGAGUAAUGUACAAUGUGUACUAGACCGGUUGGUACACGAUGAAUAAAGAUGAGCCCGAUGGACGAAUCGCUUCAUCGAUGAUGUUGAAGAAACAAAGGAGAAAAAAUGGAGGUGGCAUAGGGAGAAGGAAGAUGGGAGGAACGUAGGAAUAGAUCGUAGUAAUAGACGCGAAAGACGGAAAUAAACGCUUUGACGAGCGGUAGCCUCGGUUCCCUCUGUUAAAAAGAUUAAUGAGGAGAGAUCGUUUCCGGGACUUCAAUUUUAUUAAAGAAGGUUCAAAGGGAAUCCUUCGCGAUACAGUGUAUCCCUUCGCCCUGUCCGCCAGCAGAUUUAAAGUGGAAUGGAGGAAAGCGAUGGAAGGAAAAAGGAGGGAAUCAGCACAGUGUUGCAUCGCGAACAGUAAAGAAAAUCCUGGUAUUGUGAAAAAGAUGCAACGUAGACAAUGCGUAGACAGAAUCGAUGCAUGGGAUAUGUUAUAUUCGUUGGAAAUGAAGUGGAAAUUUUUACUGAAUCGUCAAUCACAAUUUCAUUGGAUUCUCAUCAAACUGGAUUACACAACAGACGGAAAUUUCGUAUGUGAAACACACUUAAAAGAAAAAUCUUCUCGACGAUGGAAUAAUAAAUUACCAGAAAUCACGAUAGCCUCGCGAUAAUGUCGAUCGAAGCUCGGCACUUCCUCUACAAAUCGUCUCCAUUUUGAAGCAUCGUGAAGCACGCCAAUCGAAAAUAUUGGAUGACUAUCGACAAAGAGGGAUACAGCAAGAAAUGCAGUAGUCUGGAUGAGAUCAGAAUUAAUAAACGAUCCUGUUUGGAAAACUUUCUAGUCCUUUAAGAACAUUCGGGCAUCGUGACUCAACAUCGCGACGAUACACCCGGUUUCGUGUCUAUUAUACAAAGCUGUCUCGAAAACUUGAGAGGAAAAAAAUAUAAAAAGAAUAGAAAAAAAAGUAGCGAGAAAAGAAAGACGGGAAAAGGGAACACAAAGUUUCCAUCACGCAAGUGAGAAGUCUACUCGCUUGCUCACUCGCUCAUUCGCACGCCUCUGCGAAGAUUUACGCCUGGUCGUCUGUAAUUUAAUAGAGGAUACUUUGCCGGAGUUCCUUCGAGAGUUACCUGUUCUGUUCGCACGGCCCGCGGAACGUGAGCUGACUUUGUGUCUCGGCAUAUCGUAGGGAAAGAAGGAUAAAAAAAAAUAGCCUAUGGAAGAAGGAAAAGGAGAAAGCGAGGAAGAAGGGAAAGAAAUGAAAGAGAAGCCAGAUUGCGCGCAGAUCGUAGUGUCGUUAUUCACCGAACCGGCUCGAAUAUCUAAUUACGAUGAAAGAGGCUGUCCACGUAGCGGGGUCCCAAUGAAAAAUUCAAUAUGAAACUGUAAUCGAGAACUCUGUCUUUCUCUAUGGAUUAGUAUCGGCGGCCUGGGUGCUUUCUUCGCUUCCAAUGUCCGUGAUUUAUGACCGGGCCACACGUAACGCGCAUCAGUUGAAUAAUUUUCUCUGCCGGCUCGAUGUACGAUACUUUCCCAUUCUCAUCGAUCUCCAAGUGUCAAACUGGUAUUAGAAUCGGCCGAAUGUUGUACUGAUGUCUUAUCGAGUUCUCGUCGUUGAAGGCUCAUCUUGCCUUCAACCCCCUUCUACUUUUGGGUGAAUCAAACAGAGUUCACAGAAAUGGAAGUAAAUCGACUGACAAAAAAGCCAAUCGAUUCUGAUAUUUAUUCAAGUUGAUUUCGAGGUGAACGUAGUUCAGGUGAUAUUUUAUCCGGAGUGAAGAAGUGAAGAAAGAAAACUUAAAAGAGAUAUUUUUGUGUUGAGACAGUUAUGGAGAUAGGUUCGAGUCAGAACUGUUGCUUCUAGCCUGAAGAGUUUAUAGUUAUAUAUAGAAUAAGAGAAAAGAAAGAUUUGAUAAUAAUAUUAAUAAAAAUUAUAAGAAAGUUAUAAGAAAAAAGAAAUAAUUUUCAACAAAAGUGUAAAACCAUCAAUCUAAUGACAUUCUUAAUUGCAGAUUCGACAAGAAUUUCUAGUUUAAGACAUUAAAACUGUGAUGCUUUCUAUAAGAAAUUUCAAAGGAAAAGCGACAAAAACAAGUCCUCGAUUAAAUCCCGCAUCUAGUCCUGAUAAGUUUCUUUCUGCGCGUUAAUGAUCCUCAAAUCUUCACAAAAGACUCGGAUCGCAAUCUUGUUUCCUUUUAGAAUACCUGUUUAUCUUGUAGCAAUAUCGAACCAUAGACGAGAAAGAUUAGACAUGACAAGAUUAGACUUGUUAUGAGGUGAGAUAGGGAAUUCAAAUCUUCCCUUUCGAACUUCCUUAGCAAAACAACGAUCUGCGAGGAACACGUGGGAUGUGAGACGUUCAACAAAAUGUAAAAAACGAAGAAACAUGGGAGACGAAGCUGUGCAGGCGCAAUGAUAACGUCGAGGAAUUUUCACGUCGCGGCUCUUAAUAAAACUUACGAAACGCACGAAACGUAAUAAACGAGCGACGUGUAUAGGUGAUACACGCGGCCAGGCGACUGACCCACUUUUUCUCAAGAUGUAUGAAUAUUAGUUUAACGAACUUGCCGCAACGAAGAUAUACCUGCCACUCUUUCCUUCUUGCUUUUUCCGUAGGUGGAUAGUAUUGCGCUUCGUGUACUUGCAUUGCACGAAUUUUUUUUCACACUAAACGAGCCGUCUUCAACUCGGGUGGUAAUCAGCCAUCUUCUUAUUUUCACAAACGUUUUGCAUUUUAAGCACGAUGUCACGUAGAGAUAUCAUUUUUAUCAUCAUUCUUAAUCUAAUAUCUUUCGUGUGAUAUUUCAAGAAUAUCUAAUAUAAAAUUGUAAAAUCUAUUUGUUAAAUCUAUAAUAUAUAUAUUAUUUAACACUUGUCAAUUUAGUACAAUAUCAUCCGUUGGUAAUCUAUAGCAUAAAAUGCCUCUAGAUGUCAGUUUGAUCGUAAUUCUCUAGUAGGGAGAAAGCAAGCAGAUUAACGCCGGUCAGAGUAAUAAUUCGUGCGGAGAACAUCGGAAACGGUUGGAACGUCUGAAUCGCAUAUCCGGCCGAAAUGGCCGGAUACGAAUCGAGUGUCAGCUUUGGGAAUUCAGCCGGUCGAUCGGUCGAUUAUACACGCCGUAAUAGAGCGUCACGCAACUAUGAGAAUCCGUUGUGUACUGGUUGGCUUCGAGCUGCCUCGAGAUGUGUCGAAACAGAAGCUUCCACGCCACGCGCCACGCUUCAGGAUUUGCAAGUGGACACGUGUAUGCAGUUACCCUUUGGCACCGUGUUCUCGACGUGGAAUUAACAACACGACGUCAUUAGACCGGAUGGAAUAACUAAUGAAAGACCUUUGAACGGUGAAGAUUGAUUUUCAGAAAUAUAAAGAGCAUUUCUAGUUGUAAAUUGAUUCAUACGGUUAAAAUGUUUGAUUUUUUUAAGUCCCUAGUUUAUUUAAAAAUCUUUCUAUAUACAAAUUGCAAAGAAUUAAAACUUUUUAUAAAUUAUAUCUAAUACCUUUUUCCAUGCAUCGAAUAAGUUACUUUUGUAUCGAUAGAUUGAAAAUUGUCAUUUUAUAAAUGUUGAAACAUCUCUUGACGUAAUAAUCCUGGGUGAUCAAUGAUUGACAACUAACAAUAAGUGGAUGCCAAUUAAAUUCUCUUUUUUAAACACAGAAGCCCUAUUGAUGAAAUGGUUGUGACAGCCCAGUUAAUCAUCGAUACUGCCUUUUCCAUGUAUCGUCUAUCAUUGGUUAAAACGGAACCUAAUAACAAGCAAGAAUAUUCGAUCGGAAGAAUCUCAGUUACUUCAGAACAGGAAACGAUUACAGGAUAAUCAGAAUCAUCCACGUUUAAUUGUAAAAUAGUUUUACAAUCGGAUCCUUAUAAUCGAUUAGUAACGAUCGAAUUAACGCUUUUCAAUUAAAACUUUCUGUCGAUUGGGAUGAGCUCUGGACGUUGAUAAAACAUCGAUUCCAUGCAAGAGACAAUGCCUGAAGAAUUUCAACGUGGAGUCAAUUUGAUGAUUACAUUUAUUUUAUAUUUAUCGAAAGAUCAAAUUGUACGACAUACAUAAUACAUCCACUUCGUUGGAAGUUUACGAGACAGUAGACGUUAUCUAUCCUUGUGCAACGACACGAAGAUUCGCCAACAGCUGCGGCAAUCGUUGGAAAAAGAUACGGGAGCGUGCAAUGUUUUAACUCGAUUCAGAAUUACCAGCUUGAACACGUGUACACGUGUAUCCCCUUGUUGCGCGUUCACCGCGGCCAUUAAAGCCGCAGCUUUAACUGACCCCGGUGGAGCUUUGCCGAUAUAUUUUCCGUAGAGGCCAGUAAACGCUGCAGUAAGUUGCUCACAGAUCUGUCGAUCGACAUUUUACUGAAUUGUCUGGAACUAACUGUACUUGAAAUUGGUCUUGAUCUCUACCUCUAUAAAUUAUAUUUAUAGACUUUGUCAGUUCUAUUAAUGAAACAGAUUAAAAAUUUCUUUAACAAUUUUUGAGAAUUCAUACUAUUUAAAAACAUAUCAAGAUCUUGCAUAGUAAAUGUAAAUGCCUAUAAAUAACAAGAAGAUAGAGGAAGAUAUUUUUCCUGGUAUUCAAGCACUAAAUCGUCAAAUCAUCCCAUUAUUCAAAUCAGAAGACAAUCAAUCAUCUAAUCAACGAUUCAAACUCUAAUUAUCAAGAGACUCUCAAAGUUCCUACUUCAAGAUUGGAAACCGUGGAAUUCCAUUAAAGUACAGGUUCGCCCCAUCGAUGGUUGAAUUGCAAGAAAAUGCGGACAGAGUAAGUCGAUUCCACGACCGCAUCGAACAAAACGCUAUUCGCGAUACAUGAAGGGGACGAGUUAUCCUCGAUAUCCUUUUUUUCACUAGUAUCGAGAACAUGCACACCCCGAUGACUGAUCGUGGGAGCUCUUAUUAAAGCGAUUCACGUUGUAAUUCUUCGCAAUCCACGUUUCAAAAGGCGAUGAACUAUAACGUUUUCAUUAGUCCCCUAGCUCGCUACGUGUAAUUCCAGUGCACUGGUUUUGCCUUUUCGAGUCGUUUCCAUUCCAAGCGGUAUAUAUCUCCGUGGUUCAUGGCCAAUGAGAAUGCGAUCCGGCUUCUACCUCAAGGUAUUCUCUGCUCUUCUCUGUUUCCGCCGGAAGCCGCCGACUCGAUUAAUCGUCGAUGGAAGAUAACGUCAGAGUCAAUUUCUUUGAGAGAAAAAGAAAUUCGUCCCUUCGUUUGUGUUUUAUGUACAAUUUUUGGAUAAUUUGAAAGUUUUUUCGAAGUUUUGGAAAGAAAAAUUUAAUCUUUGUUUUCUUGAACGAGAAGAGAGGUUAUCAAAAUAUCAGCGAAGAAAAAGUAUCAACGCUUUUCUCUUUUAAACUUAAAAAAUUUUUUUUUUUAACAAGAAAAGUGUUUCAAAAGAAGGGGAAUAAUUAUCAAUAACGAUGAAAUAGCUUUCUUGUUGUAAAACUUGUAAAGUAUUUCGGUAGCAUUGAGGUUAUAGAAUCGGUGCGUCGGAUCUCUAUGCACAAUGAAUGCUGGCACGAGGAGUUACCGCAAUGGUGCCAUUUGCUGCCGGAAACGUUGACCAGGGUAUCGUAAAGAAGUUCAGAGAAGCCUCGAAAAUGUUCACUGGAAGGCGACUUCUUUCCUUUGCGAGUGGCUGAAAGAAAUUGAAUUUACCGCUUCGUGAGAAAUACCAAGAUCUAGCUACGUUCGAAUCUCGUGGCCAUUUUGAGCCCAUCUUUGAGAAGCCAGAAACAGUUAAUAGGAUCAUAAAAAUUAAUAAAUCUAUUGGAAUAUUUAAUUACAACUCGUCAUUUUAUCUUUUUAUACUUUAAAUAUUACUGUGAAUGUUAACAAAUUUAAGAAGACACAGAUGAUUUGAUAAAACAAAAAUUAAAUAUCAAAAUUGGCCACGUGGCAAACGAAUCCCUGAUGGAAUGUUAAAGUUCGACAUCCAUGAAAGGAAACCAUUUCUCAACCAACUCUUCGAACGGUAACGAUAGUAGAAGAAAAGAAGGGGCAUGAAGGAAGUUUCGCAGAAACGUAAUAACUCUGGCAAAGAUUAGACGGAUAAGAGGGAACCGUCAAGACGUCUACUUCGUAAGAUAAGAUUCGGCAGAGACGCUUUGAAGCCUUUCGUAUCGAUAAUGUAACUUUGACCGACCAGUCGUGUAACAUUGAAUCGCUCAAUUACCAGAUCCAAGUAUAAACCGUGCAAUGACUUCUGCACUUGGCAAAAAGAAAAUUGGAAAAAUCGACUGAUACGGAGUCCUAAUAAAAAUGAUCAUUUUUUUAUCGAUCAUCUUUUUUCAAUUAAUAAAUUUCUAAAUUAUUUCAAAGAAUUCAUUAACAUAUAAUUAUCAUAGAAAUAUUUUAAUUAUAAUUUCUUCUUAAUUUCUAAUUUCGGCAUUUUCAUUUCAGGGAAGGAAUCUAAUUAAUCAAGAUAAGAAUUUAAUUCGUAAACUAUCGUCUAUUGCUUGGAAACCGACACUUCGUCCAAUAAAUAAUCCGAAUGAGAGAGUCAUCAAGAAGAGUUAUCUUCUUCGUGAAUCGAUUUAUGGUUCGUGAAUCAACGUGAAGACACGAAACGUGGAAUCCAUCUUGGAAAUUACUGGAUGAACGGAAGAAUGCUUGCACAUUGUCGACAGACACCAGGAACGAGAAUCUGAACAAGAUUAGGCUAGUUUCCAAGUCAGCCGAGAGGACAGCCGUGCCACGCGACACUUUGCCGGCGACCAGUCCCUAAUGAUCGUUCGCAUUUGUCGAAUUUAAUUCCGGAUAUUCGAUUCCUAAAUGCCUCGGGGCGAGACGAAAGCCAGCUACCGAUGGAAUCGAUUCGAACAUAUCCCUGCUGGAGUUCAAGGGGUUGGAUAGUUAUCGGGAACGAUAAAAACGAUAGACUAUAGAAGACGGGAAUGAAAUACUAUCUUGACCCUAUUUACCGGCCUAUAUAGAUUCUUUUGCUUAUGAAUCGGUUGUUUAAACCGAUGUCUGAUAACAUAGUUUCUUUGAUUCCAAUCAAAUGUAAUAUCCACCGGUAUUACUGUGAUAAUAUUUGAUCACUUAUCACUUAUAUAGAUGGAUGUGGAUCGGUCAAUUAAUUAAAUUGGAUUUUUCUUUCUUAUUUCUUGAAAAAUAUGAUAUAAGUGAAAAAAAAUUACAUUCUGCUGCUACUUUUUUACUAAUUUAAUAAUUUGAUGAAAAAUAAUCAACAAAAGCAGUGCAUAACGAACGGUGGAGAUCGACAAGAAAUAGUUAAAGGAAUGCUGGAAAUGCUUCGUGUAUGCCUUGCGACAUUAAUCCAUUUUCAGAUAACCAUGCUCUCUGGUCGCUUAAACCUGACAAACUGUUUUCUCUGUGUUCAGACAAAACGACAAGACAAUCAGAUUUUUUAGGAAUUAUGCACAAUUAUGUCAGGAUCGUGGAGUUAGAAAUUUUUAAAACUUUGAAUGUCAUUUUCCGACGGUAAAAUUUUUAUGUAAGCGUAAAAACGUCUAAUCAAUAGAAAUUGCGCAUGAACGAACAAUGCACUUUAUGUUUAAUAGCGUUGUUAAAAAUUAUGAUUAUGAAUUGGAAAAUGGUUUGAAAGUUUUGAAACUAGAAGAGAAUCUUUAUAGUUCAAUAGGUUAGAACAAAGAGAUUGAUUAUUAAACUGGAUAAGUAUCAAUGGUGUCAAGAAAUAUUUUAAAAAAUAUAUAAUUUCACGGAUCACAGUAUUUGGUCUUUUGACGUAUAGCCAGAUUAUCAUUGCAAAUGUUGCCCUUACAAAUACAAUUAGGACAAUUAUAGAAAAUCAUGUGAGACAACACGAAAACUCACAUAAAAUUAUGAAAUCUCAUAAUGGACCGAGAAGCAAUGUACACACAUCACAUAUUUUCAAUUUUAUCAAUAUCAUUUCACAUUAACUCGUAUACAAGUUGAUUCAACACCUAAAAGAUUUCUUCCUUUUCGUUUUACAGAAACUGGCUCGAUCAUUAACCAAAGAUAAUCAGGAUGGCGGACGCAUAACUUGAUCAAUCCUCGACGAUCUUGGCGAUGUAUUUUUUUUUCUCUAUUUCUUUUCCUUAUUUCUCUCUCCCUUUUUAGUUCGCAGUUGCGCAAUCUUCCCCGCACUUUGAACGGUCUCGUUUCACCGUCUGCUCCGCUCCUUCGAGCAGAUUUAUUCUAUUUAUUCGCUCAACCUCGAGGGAAGUCGGCCGAUUACGUCGAAAUUCCUUCUCCAAAGCCCUGCGAAUCGACCUCUUUCCAAUCUUUCUCUCGCUCUUUCCUUUUCUCCUUCUCUCCCUUUCUCUCUUCUAGCCAAGCUUUCGAGUGUUUACUCGCGUGUUCGAGUUCUGUCAGUAUCACACGCUCUCCGCCAAACAAAUCGAUCGUCUCCUAUCGCCGCCUCUUUUCGCCGAUUUUCGCCCGCCUUUCGACUCGACCGAUCCCCCGGGACCACGAAGCUUUUACGGGUGAGAAACCAGGGGACCGCCAAGAUCAAUUCAAACCAGUGUACAAUAUAUGCGUCGUGUCCACGAUAACGGAUACGUGACAAUGUUCUUUCACGAACGUAAUAAGAUCCACCUGAAAUACGGUCUAUCUGGAUAAAACGACAAAGUUAAAUCGUACUUACAUGUCCAAGGAUCAGCCACGUUGAACGACCGGCUUAGGUACGAAGUUCUCGUCGCCUGGUGCGAGGAGAAUCGGCUUGGCAACCGAUGGAGUCGCGCGUGUGAACGUCCCUCGACACACAACGUGCACGCUUAUCCGGGCCUCACAGCCGCGUCUUCCCUUCUAUUGCGACGUCGCGCCUCCUCAUCUCGCCAUCACUUGUCCACGCAGAUAUUCUUCCUCACUUUCUUCCUUCACCAAAAAUUCCAUCUGUGCAUCCUCCUCCUCCUCCUCCUCCUCCGAAAACACAAUAUAAACGACUCCCCUCGAAUUUUUCCUUCUCCAAAGUUGACCAACCGUUGAAUCAAUUCGGUAAACGUCCACCAAGGAGGCGAGGGUAUCGGGUUUCUCGCGUUGUAUAUACGAGCCCCCUCUACUCUCCCACCGAAUCGGCCUUCGUUCGUUCGUACGAGGAAACGAGGAGAAACAAGGAGAAAGAAUGUCGGAAGGCAGGUCAGUGCGUUGCGAUCGCGAGCCGUGCUUCCAAAAAAUUACGAUAUCCUUUUGCACAAGAAGCAACAGCAACCAAACCGACACCACACGAUUCGUCGAUGAAAAAAAAAAAACAAGACCGAAACUAAAGACCCAAAGAUAUACCGAUUCACUCUCUGAGCGCGAUGAAUGACGAGGGCACCGAGGAGAGGAGAGCGAAGCGGCCGACGAACGACCGUACGAACGAGGCGGCUGAAAGCACCGGAGAAAGAGUAGGAGUAGUGCGAAGAAGCAACGUCGAGGAGGGGUGUACCAAGCGGUGGAUCCAAGGUGGGGGGAGCGAUUUGGGUGGCGGGCAGGCGACUAGGGGUGGCUCUGAAGCCCGGUAGUUGUGCUCUCGCUCUUGCCUGCCUGCUUGCCUACCUGUCUGCCAGUCUGGUUUGCCUGCCCGAAGAUUUGCUCGACUGUCUAGAUGCUUGCUCGCCAAACUAGCUCGCUUUUAGUCGCCUCGCCUUCGCCGUUCCGCUUUCCACGCUCUUUUUCUGUCACGCUCGCGCGCGCUCUCUCUCUCUCCCUCUCUGUGCUUUUCUCUCUUUGUCCGAGUGUGUCUCUUUGGUUGCGCAGGACCCGCCGCGCGACCCGGCCAAACCCAGAACCCGGCGCGUAGGUACCGCGGGCUCGCAUUCGAGCUCCAGCCACCCCAGCUGCUCUAUCCCCACCAGACUAGUCAACCCCCUCGGUCAGUGAUGUGUCGAGCAAGCACAGGGCCAUGUCGGAAUAUAAAUUGGAGAAUUUCUGUGUUGUCGCUGAAUCAGAGAAAUUAUCUCGUUCGGUUAUAUUUAUAAAUUACACGCAUUCUUUAUCUCUCUGUUUCUCUCUCUUUGGUUUGGAUCACUAGAAAAUUGUAAAAAUUUGGUAUUAUUAAUAAAUGAAUCGAUUGAUCGAUUGAUUUGAUUGAUCAAAGAAACGAUAAAAGAGCAAUUGAAAGAGAAAUUUUUCUAUGAAGGAUCUUUAGAAGUACGUUUUAUAAAUAAAUUACGUCGAAGUUGAGGUUAUAAAUAUAAUAGAGAUGUAAAAGGAUAAGAAGAGCAAUCGAGCGAUGGAUCUGUAGGACCUUUAAAAAUGGUGGAGUGACGAGGGGCGGAGGCGAAUGGGCGAUUAACGACGAGCUGGCAGCGAUAGGCUCGUAUCGUAGGAGAAGGGAAUAUUAGUAAAAUUUUAUUUCGCGCAUUCGAAAACCGGCAAUUACGCUCUUGGAAAGAAAAAGAAUAGUCGAGGCUACUCGAGGAGAAGACGUUGCUCGUCCUACUUUCCCUCCUCGCCACUUCUAUGCUCCCCGUUACUUCUUGUUUCUCGCCGGCUGAACGCUUCCCCUUUCGAAUAGCCUGCAAUCAAAUACGUGCGCGUAAAUGGACCGUUUCCAGCCGAGCCGAGAAUUUUAGGCCAUUCGAGACGAGCGAGAGAUAAUUAAAAGAAAACUAACAACACCAUCGAUAUUUAAACGAGUUUGGCGAGCAUCACCGACACGUAUAUCGAGUUGACAAGGGAGAAAGAUGCUUUUCUUUUAACUUAAUUAAUUAAACGGAAUAAUCGUUCUGUCGGAGAGAUAACAAUUAACGAUAUCAAAACGACAAUGAUAAAACGUGAUUAAACGAUUCAAGUGAGAAUUAUCGAUUGCGACCUGAGGCAGUUCGCUUCCCUUGAAUUAGUUAGACAACAAACCACAAAGCUGAGCCUCUCUCCGUCUCUCACUCUUUCCUCGCUGUCCUCCUCCUCCUCCUCCUCCUCCUCUAUCUGUGAUGCUAAGUAAUUGUCGUGUCGUAAACGAAAUGUUACUUGCAUAAAUAUCUCUUUAUCAGAAAUUCACUGAUCCGAUGAACAGAAAGAAUUUAAAUUUCAAUAACACGGACGUAAUCGUGUUAUAUAUCUGAAAUAUUACGAUUAAUUUUUUUCUUGGAACGGUGAUGGACAAAUUUAGUGAUAUUUUUAGAGGUUAACUUCAAUACGAUACGUAAUUCACGAUCACUUGUUAAACCAUUUCUGAAACUGAUAUCAUAAAAAAAAAAGUAAUAAUAAUAAUAAUCAAUGUUAAAUUUCUAGAAGAGCGAUGAUUUAAAAAAAAAAUCGAAAAUCGCAUUUACGUAUAUGCGAUAUAGUUAACAAGGAAAACAAUGAAUUCUGUAUUUACACGCAGGCGGAAGAUAUCCUGUUGCACCUGUUUCAUAAUUUAUCGUGGAGAAUUAACGCGACGUCGGAUUGUCAUUUCAUUCGUGACAAUUCCGUGAGAUUGUUCCGCCUCGAAGAGACCACAUAAUGAUACUAAAUUUCAGACGACGAGGCUAGCACUCGGAGCAUGCCAGUAUUUUUAGAAACGUCCAUUUAAAGUAUUCGCCAAGCGUGAGGCCGUACGAAGUCUAGACUGUCUUCUUAAUUGCACCUCGAUGAUUCAGAAUGUAAAUCUUUUCUCAACCUGGGUAAUCUUUUAUACGAAUAUUAUUUUUUUUCUCUGUUCUCCCAUAAAAAUAUAUAUUCCAUAAAUGGAAAAAAAUUUAACUAUAUUGUAGAUUAAAACAUUCAAAUUAUAAAUUAUAAUUAAGAAAUUGACAAACGAAUAUUUUAUUUUUUUGUUUUUUCAUAUGUAUUAUAUAUACAUAUACAUUAAAUUAAAAAAUAUUUUUUCCUAUAAAUUAAAAAUAAAUAGUAAAAAUGUUAAACAAAAUUCGAUACUCUGGUUUGCUCGUCGAUCUUUAGUCAUUUGAAGUAGUCCUAGGCUCUCGAGUGCCGUCUUACGGCACUAACGACAACGCCAGCCCCCUCCAAACACUGAUUCUACUCCCUUCUCGUGCUCCCCUCUCCAGGUCAAGCUCCGCGAUCAGCAUCGAGCCGCACCACCGUAUACCCAUUUCAGCGUACCGUGCUCACUCGACAAGUCUGGACGAAACUUCAAUGAAUCUUUGUUUAGAAAGAAUUUUAACGAAUAAUUCCUAAGAUAUUAAAAUAUUUUUUAAUCAAAAAAAGAUUUUUCAGGAUUGGCGCAUUCUACUUCUAUUGUAACAAAAUUGAAUUUUUCUUCAAAAAAAAGUUAAUCAUUCUUUCUUUCAUUUCUUCCCUCUACUUUCAUUUCUUCUGAUCCCUCGCUUUUUGUAAAAUAUUCGGCAUAAAAAAUUUCGAAAUCUCGAAGGAAAAUCGAGUAGUAGAAAUUUGUAGAAAUUUAUGUUCAAAUCCUUCCAUUCUUCCUUUAUCUCAAUUUUUUAAAAAAAUUUCUAAAAUUAAUAAUAUAUCCAAAAAAAAAUUUUUUUUCAAAUAUGCAACGAAACGAGUUAACGAGGACUAAAAAUCUGAUCACUCGUUAUAUCUCUUUAUGAUUAAAAUCUCAGUAUCGUGUUUCCUUUACAAAAGUCUGGUUAGCUUCAAUCUUGUGCAAACUACCUUGAUUUUCUUCCUUCGGAAGCUUUUCACUUUCUUCUUUCUCUCUACUUCCUCUUGAACUCGAGAUUCUGGUAAGAAGAAGAAGAAGAAGAAAAAGUCUGGAAACGAAGCAAACGGUUUUCCAAUCAAUCGAACUCCAUGAACGAAACGUUCGUAUACAUAGUAGAAGAUACGCGUGAAGAUCCGUGCCGUGAUAAUUAGCCAGCUAUCGAAGUUUCUCUCGAGCUUUUGCGUAGCUUGGAAACAACUUAACUUUAGAUGCAUCAAUUUCGAAGAUAAGCGAACAAAAUCUCUUUCUUUUUAGGAUAAACGAUCAAUUGUGAUGAAUAAAAUGAUAAGUGAUAAAUAAAAAAAAAAAAAACAAA